rnacentral:lncRNA from 1 species
UACUUUUCCCUUUUCCUUUGGAAACAAUAAAAGCGCGGUGGCGACUCUGGAUUUAUUGACGUUAAAUUUAUCCAUAGAUUAAUGGUCAUGAAUUUAGCGCUAAAAUGAUCCUCCAGGGUUUUUUCUUCUUUUUCCUUCAAGCUCUUCUUUCCUAUUUAUCUCUUCUUCUUUCUUAUCUUUCUUUCUUGUUCUUAUCUCUUCCCUUUCUUUUUCUUUCUGAUAUCUCUCAUUCUCUCUUACCAAAAAUGUCCUCUCUUGUACUUAUUAACAUUGGUUUGUCUCUUUUAUUAAUAAUCAAUCUCUUCAGUGUUCACUGAUUACUCUAUUGAUCCCAACUGAUAACACUUAUAGCACAUAUGAUUGGUUGGAACUCCGUAUACACAAAAAUUCAUCUGUUAACUCCAUUUAUUCCAACCAUAACCAUCUCUAAUUCAUUCCAACAACCCAACCAACAUGAGCAUCAUGAAAAACAAGAAACACCAUCUUAAUCCAUCAAAAAAUAUCAAUAACAACAUACAUGAGUUUAUAACAUCAUAUCAUGAUUAACAACAACAACAACAUAAUUCAUAAAACCAUGUCUAAAUCCUUGGAACCCUAAGAGUUUCUAAAUCCCCCUCCCCAAAGUUUUAACUAAGAACUCACCUUGAAUAUGAAGAUGGUGAGAAGAAGAUGAGAUGAUGUUGGUGAAGAUGAUGAUCCUCCAUGGUUUUUUCUUCUUUUUCCUCCAAGCUCUUCUUUCCUCUUUCUUUCUUCUUCUUUCUUCUCUUUCUUUCUUGUUCUUAUCUCUUCCCUUUCUUUUUCAUUCUGAUAUCUCUCCUUCUCUCUUACCUACUAACUCUCUUU